UGUCUCGAAAAAACAAACGAUUGGCACAAA
rnacentral:piRNA from 1 species